rnacentral:lncRNA from 1 species
CUGUCACUUCCGUGAUGACAAGCCUCCCUUCCAUCACCUUUGUACGACCUCGGGUCUUCUGCCCUUGUGUCGAUCUGGAGGGCUAACAGUUCAAGAUUCGUUAAUUAGUACGUAGUAGUAACGGUGGCGUGAAACAAUACAAGAAUGGUUAUAUAUACCUCACCGGAACCUUCCACCACGACAAGUUGUUGCUGCGGCUGUUGCUCUUCAUUCCCAUCGGCGGACAUGUUG